AAGAGCGUAUGCCCUCUCCCUUUCUUUUCUUCACGCCGUCAUCUAGCUUAGUCAUUUUCUCCUGCGUAUACCUUAGAUCAGAUCGGAUCUGGGCAUCAUAAGGAGACGGGCUUCAGCGGGAUCCGCUGACUUCAGUAAAUGUAUGUUUCGGCUGAAGGAAGAAUUCAGUUAUUCGUCAAUUAACCGAGAACGAACGAGCACCCUGAAAAUUCAGGUAAUGCAUACAGAGCCCUUUUUUAUGUUUAACUUGCAGAUACUCUUUAUUUCAAUUCAUGCCGGUGAUUUUAUUUUUCAUAUAUGUGUAUGUAGAUGGUGCAUGGUCAACCUUCGGUUUCCUCUUAUCAGUUGACCCUAUCCGAAUUAGCUAAACAACAGUUGUGUGAGCCAGCAACUCAUGAAUUGGCUAACCCGGUACUUGUCCAUUAAACAUUACCACGGGGAACUUUGGAUUCUUCCCUCCGUGGAUGGCACUCUGAGCACUCGUUUCACGCCUUGUGUUUCCAUCCAAUGGCACCCAUUCCUAGAGCUGAUCUAGACUUCACUUUAGGGACCAGGAUAAUAUCACAAAAAUUGGGCUGGGAGUAUCAUGAAAUCCAGUAUGUCAAACGUCCACAGGGUUAUACUCAAUGGGGUGUUGAGGUCUUAAACAAUCAUUAUUUUAAUCUGCAAGGGGGCGAAGAAAAUACGGACUAUAUUCGUGGCGCCAUUUAUUGUUCCCUUUGCGAUUAUUCUGUCAGCCCCUCUUUGCUCCGCUCUUUACUAGAGAGGUGGAGUCCCCAAACCAAUACUUUCAUGCUCUCGUGUGGCGAACGCAUCAUCACUUUGCUUGAUAUGUUGCUUAUGGCUGGGCUGCCUAUAGUUGGCGAACCCUACGAAGAAUAUAUCCCGUCACUCACUAAGCUAAAUCCUUCAUUACUCUUGUACCCGAACUUUUUAUUUGAUCUUUUGGAUGUGUGGGAGGUUCUUUCUGCCGAAAGCAAGCAUAAAGAAAAAUUUGUUACUUUCCAGGCUUGGUGUGAUUAUUUCCACAACAAGCGGGCUGAUUUUUCGCCAUCCGCCAGUCUUCGCAAAAGUCGUAUGUAUGUCGCGGCUUUUGUCGCGCCUUGGCUUUGCUGCUUUGUGGUCGUUGGUGAAGGGCCGUUUAUUCGCCCUGGCGUCCUUGUCAUGGCGUCUUGGAUUGCUUUAGGGCGGAAGAUAUCAUUGGCACCCCCUGCGCUUUCAUCCCUAUAUCUUGCUCUUCGUUGUAUCAGCACAAAUCCUGUUGGGCCUUCCUUUGAACAAACACCUAUGUCUAUCCACUAUAUUAUUGGAUGGAUGCAUCUUUAUCUGAAGAAAGCUUUUGGGGCCAAAGGCAAAGGGGACAAACUUCCUUCUCCGAAGAGACUUCCUAUGCA